GGCUACCUGGCGCAAUGGUAGCGCGUUUGGCUUCGAUCGCCUGACGGCUACCUAACCUCCUCAGGGUUAGGGUCAAUGUCACCAAAAGGUUGCAGGUUCGAGUCCUGCGGUGGUCA